rnacentral:tRNA from 2 species
GUCUACGUAGCUUAAAUCCACCCAAAGCAAGACACUGAAAAUGCCUAGAUGGACUCGCAUAUCCCAUAGACA